CCCUAUCAUCUGUUGCCAGCAUUUAAGUGGGGACUCAGAUGAGACUGCCGGUGACAAACCGGAGGAAGGUGGGGACGACGUCAAGUCAUCAUGGCCCUUAUGUCCUGGGCUACACACGUGCUACAAUGGCCGGUACAGAGUGAAGCGAAACCGCGAGGUGAAGCAAAACGCAGAAAAGCCGGUCUCAGUACGGAUUGGAGUCUGAAACUCGACUUCAUGAAGUUGGAAUCGCUAGUAAUCGCGCAUCAGCAUGGCGCGGUGAAUACGUUCCCGGGCCUU
rnacentral:rRNA from 1 species